AUUGAACGCUGGCGGCAGGCCUAACACAUGCAAGUCUAACGAGUGGCGGACGGGUGAGGAAUGUCUGGGAAACUGCCCGAUGGAGGGGGAUAACUACUGGAACCGGUAGCUAAUACCGCCUACCAUCGGAUGUGCCCAGAUGGGAUUAGCGAGUAGGUGGGGUAACGGCUCACCUAGGCCACGAUCCCUAGCUGGUCUGAGAGGAUGACCAGCCACCCUGGAACUGAGACACGGUCCAGACUCCUACGGGAGGCAGCAGUGGGGAAUUUUGCACAAUGGGCGCAAGCCUGAUGCAGCCAUGCCGCGUGUAUGAAGAAGGCUUUCGGGUUGUAAAGUACUUUCAGCGAGGAGGCGUUACUCGCAGAAGAAGCACCGGCUAACUCCGGGCCAGCAGCCGCGGUAAUUC
rnacentral:rRNA from 1 species